GCUACUGUGGCCGAGUUGGUUAUGGCGCUAGACUCAAGAGAUCCUCUUGCCUUCAUCUGGAGGCUCGUGUUCUAGUAGAGAAAUCUGCAUGGGUUCAAAUCCCAUCGGUAGCA